rnacentral:rRNA from 1 species
CCCUGGGUUAGUCGGGACCUAAGCUGAGGCCGAAAGGCGUAGGUGAUGGACAACAGGUUGAUAUUCCUAUACUACCGAUAACCGUUUGAGAGAAGGGAUGACUCAGAAGGAUAAGCAAAGCCCACUCUUGGUUAUGUGUGCCCAAGCAUUGAGGCAGUCCAAGUAGGCAAAUCCGCUUUGAUAAUGCUGGGAUGUGAUGGGGAGCGAAAUUUAGUAGCGAAGUAGCUGAUUUCACACUGUCAAGAAAAGUCUCUAUCGUGGGUAAAGGUACCCGUACCGCAAACCGACACAGGUGGGUGAGGAGAGUAUCCUAAGGCCAGCGAGAGAACUGUUGUUAAGGAACUCGGCAAAAUGACCCCGUAACUUAGGGCUAAGGGGUGCCACCAUCAGUUGGUCGCAGAGAAUAGGCCCAAGCGACUGUUUACCAAAACCAUAGGUUUCUGCUAAGUCGCAAGACGAUGUAUAGGAGCUGACGCCUGCCCGGUGCUGGAAGGUUAAGGGGAUCUGUUAGAGCAAUCGAAGCAGUGAACUUAAGCCCCAGUAAACGGCGGCCGUAACUAUAACGGUCCUAAGGUAGCGAAAUUCCUUGUCGGGUAAGUUCCGACCCGCACGAAAGGCGUAACGAUUUGGGCACUGUCUCAACAACAGACUCGGUGAAAUUGUAAUUCCGGUGAAGAUGCCGGAUACCUGCGACAGGACGGAAAGACCCCAUGGAGCUUUACUGUAGCUUGACAUUGGGUCUUGGUACUACAUGUACAGGAUAGGUGGGAGGCUUUGAAACCAGGACGCCAGUUUUGGCGGAGCCAUCCUUGGGAUACCACCCUUGUAGUACUGGGACUCUAACCAUAGGCCAUGAAUCUGGUCUUGGGACACUGUCAGGUGGGCAGUUUGACUGGGGCGGUCGCCUCCCAAAAGG